UACGUAGGGCGCGAGCGUUGUCCGGAAUUAUUGGGCGUAAAGAGCUCGUAGGCGGUUUGUCGCGUCGGUUGUGAAAACCCAAGGCUCAACCUUGGGCCUGCAAUCGAUACGGGCAGACUAGAGUACUGCAGGGGAGACUGGAAUUCCUGGUGUAGCGGUGAAAUGCGCAGAUAUCAGGAGGAACACCGGUGGCGAAGGCGGUUCUCUGGGCAUGUCCUGACGCUGAGGAGCGAAAGUGUGGGGAGCGAACAGG
rnacentral:rRNA from 1 species